ensembl:rRNA 5S_rRNA 5S ribosomal RNA
UUCUAUGGCUAUACCACCCUGAAUGCACCCUAUCUCGUCUGAUCUUGGAAGGUAAGCAAGGUCGGGCCUCAUUAGUACUUGGAUGGGAGUUCCAAUUUUUCAGUCCAUGGGAUCACUCCAUGGCGUCAAAGCAG